AGCGGUAGAGAGGUGCUUGCACCUCUUGAGAGCGGCGGACGGGUGAGUAAUGCCUAGGAAUCUGCCUGGUAGUGGGGGAUAACGCUCGGAAACGGACGCUAAUACCGCAUACGUCCUACGGGAGAAAGCAGGGGACCUUCGGGCCUUGCGCUAUCAGAUGAGCCUAGGUCGGAUUAGCUAGUUGGUGGGGUAAUGGCUCACCAAGGCGACGGUCCGUAACUGGUCUGAGAGGAUGAUCAGUCACACUGGAACUGAGACACGGUCCAGACUCCUACGGGAGGCAGCAGUGGGGAAUAUUGGACAAUGGGCGAAAGCCUGAUCCAGCCAUGCCGCGUGUGUGAAGAAGGUCUUCGGAUUGUAAAGCACUUUAAGUUGGGAGGAAGGGCAGUUACUUAAUACGUGACUGUCUUGACGUUACCGACAGAAUAAGCACCGGCUAACUCUGUGCGAGCAGCCGCGGUAAUACAGAGGGUGCAAGCGUUAAUCGGAAUUACUGGGCGUAAAGCGCGCGUAGGUGGUGCGUUAAGUUGGAUGU
rnacentral:rRNA from 1 species